rnacentral:rRNA from 1 species
AUUGAACGCUGGCGGCAUGCCUUACACAUGCAAGUCGAACGGCAGCACGGGUGCUUGCACCUGGUGGCGAGUGGCGAACGGGUGAGUAAUACAUCGGAACGUACCUUAUUGUGGGGGAUAACGCAGCGAAAGCUGUACUAAUACCGCAUAAUCCCUAAGGGGGAAAGCGGGGGACCGUAAGGCCUCGCGCAAUUAGAGCGGCCGAUACCUGAUUAGCUAGUUGGUGAGGUAAAGGCUCACCAAGGCAACGAUCAGUAGCUGGUCUGAGAGGACGAUCAGCCACACUGGGACUGAGUCACGGCCCAGACUCCUACGGGAGGCAGCAGUGGGGAAUUUUGGACAAUGGGGGCAACCCUGAUCCAGCAAUGCCGCGUGAGUGAAGAAGGCCUUCGGGUUGUAAGGCUCUUUUGUCAGGGAAGAAACAGCAGCUCUAACACAGUUUGCGAAUGACGGUACCUGAAGAAUAAGCACCGGCUAAUUACGUGCCAGCAGCCGCCGUAA